UACGUAGGGUGCGAGCGUUGUCCGGAAUUAUUGGGCGUAAAGGGCUCGUAGGCGGUUUGUCGCGUCGGGAGUGAAAACCCAGGGCUUAACCCUGGGCUGGCUUCCGAUACGGGCAGACUAGAGGUAUGCAGGGGGAGAACGGAAUUCCUGGUGUAGCGGUGAAAUGCGCAGAUAUCAGGAGGAACACCGGGUGGCGAAGGCGGUUCUCUGGGCAUUACCUGACGCUGAGGAGCGAAAGUGUGGGGAGCGAACAGG
rnacentral:rRNA from 1 species